UGUGCUGCCCGCCGCAGGGAGGGAGCCAAUGCCGACGAGUCUAUUUAUUCGUACCUACGGUCCAUUGACAACUCACUAUCGAGGUUGGAUGGCUGUAUAUCGGGUUUAGAUAGUUGUGUAUCCAGUAUGGAGGAAAACAUGACUGACAUGAAAGGGCAAUUGUCGGCCAUCCUGUCAUUGUUGCAGUCUAUGUGCAAGGGUUCCACGGUGAAUGAGGAGAUGACCAGGUCACUCAUCUCAUCUCGGGAUCCCGAUACGACUACGACUGCCUCUGACACUCCCAUCCUCAUCCCCCCUUUACAGCCCGAUACCACCACUUCACCUACUCCUACCCCCCUGUACAGCCCGAUACCACCACUGCCAUGACAUCACCAAUUGACGUCAAACCUAUACAGGCCGACGUCUCACAAACAAAGUCCGACAUGUCUACCUUACUCACCAUGCCACAUACAGAGGCUGACAUGUCUGGCAUCCCAGAGGCCGAUGCUUCUGGGAUUGUUACGACCACAGAAGAAGUUCCACUGAAAUCUCGAAGAAUUAGUCAUAAGAGAAAACUGGUUGGUAAAUAUACACCCCCAGCCCAAAUAAAGAAGAAAAGUGUGGUUGAACAUCCUUUCCCAGGUGUAGCUACGUCAAUAUCCAGAUCGAUCGUCACAUAUAACGUAGCACACGAUGUUCCACACAAUAUCCUGAUAGAAAUGAUGGGAUGGAUCUCGAACGACAAUACAGACAACGAGGUUUGAGAGAACUCCUUUAAACCACUCGCGAAGCAAUUCUUUAAGGAAUUGAUUACCCCGAAUUCGUUGGUCGAGUGCGAUACCAUAAAUACUUUAUUUUAUUUUAUGAAAGAUAAAUUUUAUACCCGACCCGACAUAUGCAUGCACAAGUUCACCAUUUUGCCAAUUGGUGUAACGAGUCACCUUAAUGCUCAUGGCGGGGUAUUUAAAUGAAUAAAGAAUAAGUCACUUCUGGAGGCUGCCCUAUUAUAGGAAGAUAAAGACACGUAUAAGGACUACGUCACUGGUAAAUUCGAUGUCAAAUGGGCAGAUGUGGAUUUUGUUUAUACGGCGAUGAAUAUCAGUGACCACUGGAUGGUCCUUGCAAUGGACAUUAACAGAGGCCACAUUCGUGUUCGAUUCACUUCUGUCAUACACACCAAUGACAAAGCUGGUGAAUUGGCUGGAGCCAUUGAUGGUCCCUACUUCACUAAUGUGAUGUGGAUCGAUCGAAGCCGGACCUGUCCACAGCCCCUUGGAAAAUCUCGUGACCUAUGGACAUCGACAAACAACACGGGUCGCUUGAUUGUGGCAUCUUCGCAAUCAAACUAUUGGAACACCUGGUGACUGGUGCUGAUCCAUCCUAAUCACUCAGGAGAAGAUAAAUGAAUAUAGGAUGCAAUUAGCGUGUCAACU